CGUGCCUGAUGGUGUAUUUACAUUGAAAUACUAACAAAAAAUUGUAAAUGCAUUAGUCUGGCAUGGC
rnacentral:pre_miRNA from 1 species